CAGUCGAGCGAACGGAUAAGGAGCUUGCUCCUUUGAAGUUAGCGGCGGACGGGUGAGUAACACGUGGGUAACCUACCUAUAAGACUGGGAUAACUUCGGGAAACCGGAGCUAAUACCGGAUAACAUUUAGAACCGCAUGGUUCUAAAGUGAAAGAUGGUUUUGCUAUCACUUAUAGAUGGACCCGCGCCGUAUUAGCUAGUUGGUAAGGUAACGGCUUACCAAGGCGACGAUACGUAGCCGACCUGAGAGGGUGAUCGGCCACACUGGAACUGAGACACGGUCCAGACUCCUACGGGAGGCAGCAGUAGGGAAUCUUCCGCAAUGGGCGAAAGCCUGACGGAGCAACGCCGCGUGAGUGAUGAAGGGUUUCGGCUCGUAAAACUCUGUUAUUAGGGAAGAACAAAUGUGUAAGUAACUGUGCACAUCUUGACGGUACCUAAUCAGAAAGCCACGGCUAACUACGUGCCAGCAGCCGCGGUAAUACGUAGGUGGCAAGCGUUAUCCGGAAUUAUUGGGCGUAAAGCGCGCGUAGGCGGUUUCUUAAGUCUGAUGUGAAAGCCCACGGCUCAACCGUGGAGGGUCAUUGGAAACUGGGAAACUUGAGUGCAGAAGAGGAAAGUGGAAUUCCAUGUGUAGCGGUGAAAUGCGCAGAGAUAUGGAGGAACACCAGUGGCGAAGCGACUUUCUGGUCUGUAACUGACGCUGAUGUGCGAAAGCGUGGGGAUCAACAGGAUUAGAUACCCUGGUAGUCCACGCCGUAACGAUGA
rnacentral:rRNA from 1 species